rnacentral:rRNA from 2 species
UAAUACAUGCAAGUCGAGCGGACUUUAAAAGCUUGCUUUUAAAGUUAGCGGCGGACGGGUGAGUAACACGUGGGCAACCUGCCUGUAAGACUGGGAUAACUUCGGGAAACCGGAGCUAAUACCGGAUAAUCCUUUUYCUCUCAUGAGGAAAAGCUGAAAGACGGUUUACGCUGUCACUUACAGAUGGGCCCGCGGCGCAUUAGCUAGUUGGUGAGGUAACGGCUCACCAAGGCRACGAUGCGUAGCCGACCUGAGAGGGUGAUCGGCCACACUGGGACUGAGACACGGCCCAGACUCCUACGGGAGGCAGCAGUAGGGAAUCUUCCGCAAUGGACGAAAGUCUGACGGAGCAACGCCGCGUGAGUGAUGAAGGUUUUCGGAUCGUAAAACUCUGUUGUUAGGGAAGAACAAGUACAAGAGUAACUGCUUGUACCUUGACGGUACCUAACCAGAAAGCCACGGCUAACUACGUGCCAGCAGCCGCGGUAAUACGUAGGUGGCAAGCGUUGUCCGGAAUUAUUGGGCGUAAAGCGCGCGCAGGCGGUCCUUUAAGUCUGAUGUGAAAGCCCACGGCUCAACCGUGGAGGGUCAUUGGAAACUGGGGGACUUGAGUGCAGAAGAGAAGAGUGGAAUUCCACGUGUAGCGGUGAAAUGCGUAGAGAUGUGGAGGAACACCAGUGGCGAAGGCGACUCUUUGGUCUGUAACUGACGCUGAGGCGCGAAAGCGUGGGGAGCAAACAGGAUUAGAUACCUUGC